rnacentral:lncRNA from 10 species
GAUUCAAAUCCCCACCCAUCCUUCCUCCUCAUCUACUUCAAGUUAUUCUUAACAAAGACACUAAUAUUUCUUGUGACCCAGCCUUACUCCCUGAGCCCAACCAUGUUAUGCUGAACCAUCUCUAUGCAUUGUCCAUUAAGAUAAAGAAACUAAGGCUCAGAGAAGGUCAAAUUGCCAGACAGUGUGAUGGUCCUUAGCGCAACCCAUCGCUACAAGAAGAAGUAUGUUACUACUCUGCUAUACAAGCCCAUUUGAAGGGAUCCCUUCUUGCCUCUAAGGAUUCAGGAGAAGCAUCUCCCUUGCAUUUCUGGACUGAACCAGUCUUACCUGAGACUGGAAGGCUGAUUUGCUUUGAGGCUGAUAUGUGUGUUUCAGAGCCUCUGAGUAGGAUGCUCUGCUUUUGCAUUUGAUUGCAGAUGAGAGCUUUAUGAGUUCACGGAAUUUAUUUUAAGAAAAAAAAAUAUACAUAUGAGAAGAAGGUAAAUGGAAGCCUCCUAGCCCCAGCUAGAAGUAUUGUUUCUGCCUGUGGGUUUUCACCAAGACCUGUUUGGGGGCGCUGCAGGAAUAACUAUAUAGGAAGAUUUUUCCUAAAAUGAAAGAA